rnacentral:lncRNA from 1 species
UACAGGCCUGUGCCACUACUGUCUCACUAAUUUUUGUACUUUAGUAGAGACAGGAUAUCACCAUGUUAGCCAGGCUGAUCUUGAACUCCUGACCUGAAAUGAUCCACCCGCCUUGGCCUCCCAAAGUGCUGGGAUGACAGGCAUGAGCCACCAUGCCUGGCCACAGUGAGGCUUAUUCUUGGUCACGUUGCAUGUCUGGGCUGUGUUAGGGCAUUGUGGGGUGGUCUGUUCAUUGUGUUCACUCAGGGAUCCAGGCUGACAAAAGCCCCAUCUCUGAAUGUGUCCUUGAUCACCACUUCAGGGGAAAGGGAAUGUGGUGGAUCACACAGCCUUUUAACACUUCCACCUGGAGGUGACUCAAGUUGCUCUUGCUCAUGGUUCAUUGGACAAAGCAGAUCACAGAGACAUGGGCAACUUCUCUGUGCCUGGAAGGGGAAUCAAAAUAUGAAUAGCUACAUUGAUUUUCCUUAGCUUUUACACAGAAGGCCUCAUUUAAACACAGUUACUUAUUUGUGUUUUGAAGCCAAUUGUUGUCCAUCAAACUUCACAGAAGAUAUGUGCACUUCCAAGUUAUUAUUAAGCACAAUUUUUUUUUUUUUUUUUUGAGGCAGAGUCUCACUCUCUUGCCCAGGCUGGAGUGCAGUGGCAUGAUCAUGGAUCACUGCAACUUAUGCCUCCUGGGUUCAAGUGAUUUUCGUGCCUCAGCCUCCCAAAAUGCUGUGACUACAGACACCCACCACUGCGCCUGGCUAAGUUUUGUAUUUUUAAUAGAGAUAGGGUUUCACCAUGUUGGCCUGGCUGGUCUGGAACUCCUGACCUCAGGUGACCCACCUGCCUCGGCCUCCCAAAGUGCUGAGAUGAUAGGCGGGAGCUGCCACACCCAUCCUUGAGUAUGAUUUUUGAUUGGGAAGGUCAGAGUUAGGGUUUUAGUCUGAGGACAGUAUGAUGUGAAGGUGAAAAGCAGAGCUUGGCUGUGAGUUUGCUGGGAUGCCUGUGCUGCUUCUACAGUUCUUUGGCUGUGUGAUCGUCACCUUUGGCAAGUUCCUUUACGUUUCUAUGUGUUGGUUUCCUCAUCAAUAAAAUGGAAAAACUAGUGCUUGCUUCGGCUGCACAUAUACUAAAAUUAGAAUGAUACAGAGAAGAUUAGCAUGGCCCCUGCACAAGGAUGACACGCAAAUUCGUGAAGCGUUCCAUAUUUUUAGUCAGUGUGGUGAUUCCUCAGGGAUCUAGAACUGGAAAUACCAUUUGACCCAGCCAUCCCAUUACUGGAUAUAUACCCAAAGGACUCUAAAUCAUGCUGCUAUAAAGACACAUGCACGCGUAUGUUUAUUGCGGCAUUAUUCACAAUAGCAAAGACUUGGAACCAACCCAAA